GAUGAACGCUGGCGGCGUGCUUAACACAUGCAAGGCGAGCGAGUGAGUUCUUCGGAACGAUCUAGCGGCGGACGGGUGAGUAACACGUGGGCAACCUGCCUCAUAGAGGGGAAUAGCCUCCCGAAAGGGAGAUUAAUACCGCAUAAAAUUAUCGAGUGGCAUCACACGAUAAUCAAAGGAGGAAUCCGUUAUGAGAUGGGCCCGCGGCGCAUUAGCUAGUUGGUGAGGUAACGGCUCACCAAGGCGACGAUGCGUAGCCGACCUGAGAGGGUGAUCGGCCACAGUGGGACUGAGACACGGCCCAGACUCCUACGGGAGGCAGCAGUGGGGAAUAUUGCACAAGGGGGGAAACCCUGAUGCAGCAACGCCGCGUGAGUGAUGAAGGUCUUCGGAUUGUAAAGCUCUGUCUUUGGGGACGAUAAUGACGGUACCCAAGGAGGAAGCCACGGCUAACUACGUGCCAGCAGCCGCUGUAA
rnacentral:rRNA from 1 species